rnacentral:rRNA from 1 species
GAUGAACGCUGGCGGCGUGCCUAAUACAUGCAAGUCGAGCGAACGGACGAGAAGCUUGCUUCUCUGUUGUUAGCGGCGGACGGGUGUGUCACGCGUGUAUAACCUACCUAUCAUUCUGGUAUAACUUCGGAAAACGGUCGCUUAUACCGUAUAAUCUCUUGCACCGCAUUGGUCAAUAGUGAAAGACGGUCUUGCUGUCUCUUAUAGAUGGAUCCCCGCUGCAUUAGCUAGUUGUUAAGUUAACAGGUUACCAAGGCAACGAUGCAUAGACGACGUGAGGGGGUGAUCGGCGACACUGGAACUGAGACAGGGUCCAGGGUACUGCGGGAGGCAGCAGUAGGGUAUGUGCCGCAGUGGGCGAAAGCCUGACGGAGUAACGCCACGUGAGUGAUGAAGGCCUUCGGUGCGGAAAACUCUGUUAUGAGGGAAAAACAGAUUUGUAAGGAACUGUGCAGAGCUUGACGGUACCUAGUCAGAAAGCAACGGCUAACUACGUG